GGGGAGGUAGUGACGAAAAAUAACGAUACGGGACUCAUCCGAGGCCCCGUAAUCGGAAUGAGUACACUUUAAAUCCUUUAACGAGGAUCCAUUGGAGGGCAAGUCAGGUGCCAGCAGCCGCGGUAAUUCCAGCUCCAAUAGCGUAUAUUAAAGUUGUUGCGGUUAAAAAGCUCGUAGUUGAAUCUGUGUGCCACAAUGUCGGUCCGCCGCUCGCGGUGGUUACCUACAUAUCGUGGGACGUCCUACCGGUGGACUUAGUUCCUUAGGGGACGGUCCAACUAAUAUCCCAUCGCGGUGCUCUUCAUUGAGUGUCGAGGUGGGCCGGUACGUUUACUUUGAACAAAUUAGAGUGCUUAAAGCAGGCUACUUUCGCCUGAAUACUGUGUGCAUGGAAUAAUGGAAUAGGACCUCGGUUCUAUUUUGUUGGUUUUCGGAACCCCGAGGUAAUGAUUAAUAGGGACAGAUGGGGGCAUUCGUAUUGCGACGUUAGAGGUGAAAUUCUUGGAUCGUCGCAAGACGGACAGAAGCGAAAGCAUUUGCCAAAAAUGUUUUCAUUAAUCAAGAACGAAAGUUAGAGGUUCGAAGGCGAUCAGAUACCGCCCUAGUUCUAACCAUAAACGAUGCCAGCUAGCGAUCCGCCGAAGUUCCUCCGAUGACUCGGCGGGCAGCUUCCGGGAAACCAAAGCUUUUGGGUUCCGGGGGAAGUAUGGUUGCAAAGCUGAAACUUAAAGGAAUUGACGGAAGGGCACCACCAGGAGUGGAGCCUGCGGCUUAAUUUGACUCAACACGGGAAACCUCACCAGGCCCGGACACCGGAAGGAUUGACAGAUUGAUAGCUCUUUCUUGAUUCGGUGGGUGGUGGUGCAUGG
rnacentral:rRNA from 1 species